UUCCCCAGGUCCUUCUUUUUCCCACAUUUUGAAGCUAGGUACUUUAUUUGCCCUUUUCUAGUUCUCUGGGUCCUUUGCUGUCCUCCAUGAGUUCUCAAAGACAAUCACUAAUGGUUCAGAGACUGCUUCCGCUAAUUCCGCUUCCUUUUUCUUCAGGCUAUUAAAAGACGAGGGACCCAAUUCAGAGGGGAAUCUAAGGCUUUCAUCUGUUCAAACAGAGAAAGAAGAAAAGCAGGGUGCUGAGAAUCAGUGGCAACACUCACACCAGAUUCAAUUCAGUAACAGCAUCUGCAGAAGAUUAAAGAGAUAGUAAAUAUUUUGUCCUUUCUAUCAAGAGUUUAACAUGUUUUGCAAGAUAUUAUAUAAAUAUUAUGUUGUGCCAAGUUAUGCUAUAAGAGUACAACAAAUAUAAAGUUAUUUUAUGUUAUGAAAGUAAACCCAAAUUUUGUAUACUGUUUAUAUAUAGUAAGUGUCCUAGGCAACUGAAAUUCUAGGAUGCUCUAAAUACAUUUCAAAACUCUUUGAUACAAUCUUUAUCUUUCUACAUAAGUAUGGUAUUGAGAACUGUUUCAAAAUGUAGGUACUAAUAUUUUCUCAAUAUUAUGAGAUCCUCAUUUCAUUAGUUAGCCAGACAAUAAAAAUAUCAAAUUAAAUUAUGCAAAAAAUACUUUUUUAAAUAUAAGUUUAGGGUUUCAUUUCUACUUCCAAGUUAUAUGCGCAAUCUUAUUUCAAACUCAAAUAUACGUCCUCUAUCUCCCUUAGAUCCUUGUACAUAUUUGGGAGUUCUAUAAUUGACUUCAAUGGGAGCUUAGCUCUUGUCUGCAGCCAACCAGCCAACCUCCCCUCCCUCUGUGAAUGGUCAUGUAAUCAACUACAAAUAAAGUAUAGCUUUGCUGGACAAUGCAGGGGAAACUGGGCUGUGGCUCUGUCCUCUCCCCACCCAACCUUCUUUGGACAGUCUAACAAAUAUCUGCACUAGACUGCCUCAGUCCUCAUGAGCCACCUGUACAGGGGAUGAAAAGAUCAGGGGAAAGGCUCCUUACAGCCUCCUCUCUCACACAUCGAUCCGCACAGGGAUCGACACAAACUAGAUCUUAAUAUGUAGAUGCUUUUUUAAGUAAGAGAAGAAAUGUUGCUAUCCCCAAUAACCUCAAAACCUCAUCAAGGAGAAAUCAAUUCCUCAUUAUAGGUUCUGUGGAAUCACUGGUAGUAAGUUAAUAAGCUGCCAAACUGUAAAGAUAAACUUCAUUCCUUAUGGGGUUCUCUAUAUCUCUUUUCUAGUAAGUUCGUGCUGCCGCAACAGAGGAAGCACAAAGUUGACCAAUAAAACUUGUUCUUAGAAUUAUGAAGGCUUCGCUGACCUUUUAUUUUUAUUUUUUUCAGACUAGGGAAACUACAAUUAACUGUGAUUCAUGUUGGCUUGUUACCCCAUAAGAAUUAGAGGAGGACUUUUGCAGAAU